GACGAACGCUGGCGGCGUGCCUAAUACAUGCAAGUAGAACGCUGAAGGAGGAGCUUGCUCUUCUGGAUGAGUUGCGAACGGGUGAGUAACGCGUAGGUAACCUGCCUGGUAGCGGGGGAUAACUAUUGGAAACGAUAGCUAAUACCGCAUAAGAGUAGAUGUUGCAUGACAUUUGCUUAAAAGGUGCAAUUGCAUCACUACCAGAUGGACCUGCGUUGUAUUAGCUAGUUGGUGGGGUAACGGCUCACCAAGGCGACGAUACAUAGCCGUCCUGAGAGGGUGAUCGGCCACACUGGGACUGAGACACGGCCCAGACUCCUACGGGAGGCAGCAGUAGGGAAUCUUCGGCAAUAGACGGAAGUCUGACCGAGCAACGCCGCGUGAGUGAAGAAGGUUUUCGGAUCGUAAAGCUCUGUUGUAAGAGAAGAACGAGUGUGAGAGUGGAAAGUUCACACUGUGACGGUAUCUUACCAGAAAGGGACGGCUAACUACGUG
rnacentral:rRNA from 1 species